rnacentral:piRNA from 1 species
AGGAGAAAUGGAAAUGGUUUUGGGUGA